ACAAUUGUGUUUAGGUUUUAUAUAUCUUUAUAUAUAUACGAACAAAUACUACGUGGCAAAUUACAUGAACAUCUUCACUCUUCUACAACCCUAUUUUAUUCAAAUAAGAGGCAUAUAUUUGUCACGAGCGUUUAAUGUCAUCCUAAAAACAUUAUCUUGGCCUUGCGUAUAUUUAUCUGGUAGUUUCCGGCAAGGUGUUACCUUCAAGGUGAAGGUCAAUCUUGAUUACCUCCGCCGAAGGUGUUCGUGUCGGCCAGAAGUUGGGAGAAGUUUAUUUGGCCCCACAGAAACUAAAAUCGCUUAUGUGUCGAACUUGAACAAUGACAUCCAGAUAUUACAGAUUUCCUAUUUUAUUUGGCGGUGUAGUUGGUGUACUGUAUUUCGGUUUCUCAAUGAGGAAGCAAAUAUUUGCUGAUGGAGUUGAAGCUGCAA